rnacentral:lncRNA from 1 species
UGUAAUUUUUCUUUCUUUUUAUUUUUUAAUUGAACAUAUUUUUCUAUACAAUAUAUUUUGAUCAUAGUUUCUUCUCCACCUCCUUCCAGCUCUUCCCCACCUUUCCACCCAUCCAACUCUAAGCAUUUAAGUAGGCACCUCCCCUGCAAAAACAAAACAAAACAAAACAAAACAAAACAAAACAAAACCACCACCACCACCACCAGCAGCAACAAUAAACAGAAUAAAAACAAAAAGAAAAAAAAGGAGAAGCACACAUAUUCCUCUGAUACCUAGAAACAGUCUUUACCUGGACCUCCUGUAAUUUUUCUUAACAGUGGUUCAGCCAUUUUGAGAUACAUUCCCUAUAGAAGAAGCAGGGCAAUGUUUCCUGUUCUUUCUUGUUAAAUAGCUUCAGCAAAACUCACUUAUCAUAAAAUUCAUCCCUUGUAACUACAGUUCAGCAAUUUUCAGAGUAUUUAUGCAAAUGUGAGACAUCACCACUAUCUGAUUUAGUAUAUUCCUGUCACCCUCAAACAAUUCCUGAGGUAUAUUUAUAGUCAACUCCCAUGUCUGCUCCCACUUCCCAGUAACCACUUGUCAAUUUCUCUAUAGAUUGGUGUUCUCUCUUUUUUCUUUCUUUCUCUUCUAACCUCUUAAUUUAUAAUAAUAUUUUUGAAGUGCAUUCAUAUUUUUCCACAUACAAGAUAUUUAUUCCUUUUAUUGCCAACCAAUAUUCUGUUAUAAUGAAUAUUUAGUCUGUUUGGCUAUUGUAAAUAAUUAACAAGUCUAUGAAUAUCUGUUCAGUUGUAGGCUAAGUAUAUGUUUAAAAUUUGAAUAUUUAGUUAACAUAUUCUUAUGUUACUGCGAGACCAGUGGCACGGGCUCCUUCAGGUCUGUCUGGGCUGGCACCCUGAGCAGACCUUGGAUGCAAAAUCCACAGCCAGCCCCACAACACCCAGAGGCAGUUUCACUCCUAGGCGCUUCAACAUGUCCAGGGUCAGAGGAUCCUGGGAUCCUAGGAGCUUGGUCACACCAGGAUCUCAAGGUCCCAAAGGCAACUUGACUCCUAGGAGCUCAGAUAUACCCAGGAUCUCAGGAAGAACAGAGUCCAGUCAGACAUAGCAAGGGAAGGGAGCAUUAGAGAUAAUCAGAUGGCAGGAGGCAAGCAUAAGAACAUAGGCAACAGAAACCAAGGUUACUUGGCAUCAUCAGAACCCAAUUCUCCCACCAUAGCAAGUCCUAGAUAUCCCAACACACAGGAAAAGCAAGAUUCAGAUCUGAAAUCACUUCUCAUGAGGAUGAUAGAAGACAUUAAGAAGGGCAUAAAAAUGUCCCUUAAAGAAAUACAGGAGAACACAGGUAAAUAGCUAGAAGCCAUUAAAGAGGAAACACAAAAAUCCCUUAGAUUUACAGGAAAUCAAAAUCAAACAGGGGAAGAAAGGAACAAAACCAUCCAGGAUCUAAAAAUGGAACUAGAAACAAUAAAGAAAUCACAAAGGGAAACAAUCCUGGAGUUAGAAAACCUAGGAAAGGGAUGAGGAGUCAUAGAUGCAAGCAUCACCAACAGAACGUCCUUAACCUAAAGAAAGAGAUGCCCAUGAACAUACAAGAAGCCUACAGAACUCCAAAUAGACUCAACCAGAAAAGAAAUUCCCCCGUCACAUAAUAAUCAAAACGCCAAAUGUACUAAACAAAAAAAGAAUUUUAAAAGCAGUAAGGGAAAAAGGUCAAGUAACAUAUAAAGGCAGGCCUAUCAAAGUUAUACCAGAUUUCUCACUAGAGACUAUGAAAGCUAGAUGAUCCUGGGCAGAUGUCAUACAGACCCUAAGGGAACACAAAUGCCAGCCCAGGCUACUAAACCUCUCAAUCACCAUAGAUGGAGAAAAUAAGAUAUUCCAUGACAAAACCAAAUUUACACAAUAUCUUUCCACAAGUCCAGCCCUACAAAGGAUAAUAGGUGGAAAACACCAACACAAGGAGUGAAACUACAACCUAGAAGAAGCAAGAAAGUAAUCUUUCAACAAACCCACACAAACAUAAUUCCACCUCUAACAAGAAAAUUAACAGGAAGUAACAAUCACUUUUCCUUAAUAUCUCUUAAUAUGAAAAUUAUUAUUACCAACAUAUCUUAUUCAAUUGAAAUUCAAAAAUAUGAGGAAUUAGAAUUUUGUUGGCCAUCAUCCCUGGGUCUUGCUAAUUUGGUAAUGGUAGAAAUAGGUCCAAUAUUGUACAAUCCAUAUACACUUCCUGCUUGUUUGUAAAUGACAGGAUCUUGCUGUGUGCCACAUAAUGGUCUUGAAAUCAUGCUUCUCCUAUCUCAGCUUCUCUAUUAGUAGGAUUGUUUAUUUGAUGUUUUUAUACUGUACUAUGGUUUUCAGAACAGCUCACAUAUUUCAAAAUUAUUUACACAGCUGAAAAAAUGUAGACAAUUAAUUUGGGAGGUGGCUUGUAAGAGAACAUCUAGGAGUGAGACUAAAGGCUUUGCUUGAUAUUUAUAAUUAUUGUAUCAAUUUUGAAGAAGAGGACUUUAUAAGUUACUCUUAUUUUGAGUUGAAUGCUUUUCAAAAUCAUCAUAGCCAGUGAACCAGAAUCUUGCCCUCACUUAACGUCUGUGCCACCCUCCAAGCAGAACCAUUGUUCAUUGAAACAGUUGAUGAAUGACUUAAUGAAUAGACCAUCUUAAUGCACACACCAUUUCUUAAAUGAAUGUAACCUGUUCCCUGUGCCUGAGAAUGAUGACAAUCACUCAAGUCAAAUAGCUUUGACCAUAGCAGCAAAUCUGUAUCCAAAAAAUCGUGCCUACAAUUCAUUCCUUAGCUCAGCAAAACUGUCAACUCUUAGCUUAUCUACAAUGGAGGUAAAAUCCUUUGGUGAUGUGAGGGACAUUCAAGUACAGCCUUAUUACAAUGAACUCCAAUGUCCAAAAACUGUUCUUUUUUGUGUUUGUACCACAUUAAGAGCCAAGAUUUUAAGCUCUACUAAAAAACAAACAAACAAACAAACAAACAGACUUUAUCAUUUAUUUUCAUUAAAAAAACUAAUAGUGAUAUAUUAUUUUAAAAUAUCAUACAGUUAAUAUAUUUGGAUUUAUUUAAAACUUAUGUUGAGAAAAACCUAUGUAUUUUCAGUAUUGCUGUAGACAAACAUCUACAUAAGACUGUUCAAUUGAUUGUUGUUUUAUAUCAAACAACUUUUAUAAUACUCAUUUUUAUUGUUACAAUAUUUUAUAAAUUUUAAAGAAUAUGAUAAAAACGAAAGAUAUUGCAGGUUUUGAAGGAGGCAGCUCUCUGGGAGGAGUUGGGGUACAAAAGGGC